rnacentral:rRNA from 1 species
CAGGACGAACGCUGGCGGCAUGCCUAACACAUGCAAGUCGAACGGGGGUAGCAAUACCCUAGUGGCGAACGGGUGAGUAACACAUAAGCAAUCUGCCCUUCGACAGGGGGAUAACAGCGGGAAACUGCUGCUAAUACCGCAUAAGACCACGGUACCGCAUGGUACAGGGGUAAAAACGAAUCAGUGGUGAAGGAUGAGCUUAUGUCCCAUUAGCUAGUUGGUGAGAUGACAGCCCACCAAGGCGACGAUGGGUAGCCGACCUGAGAGGGUGAUCGGCCACACUGGAACUGAGACACGGUCCAGACUCCUACGGGAGGCAGCAGUGGGGAAUAUUGGGCAAUGGAGGAAAAAACCUCUUACCCAGCAAUGCCGCGUGAGUGAAGAAGGUCUUCGGAUUGUAAAGCUCUUUGAUUGGGGACGAAGAAAGUGACGGUACCCAAAGAACAAGCCCCGGCUAACUACGUGCCAGCCGCAGC